UUAAGUUCAGCGGGUAUCCCUACCUGAUCCGAGGUCAACCUUGAUAAAAUUAGGGGUUGUUGGCAGCACACACCAGAACUCCAGAGCGAGAAGAAUUACUACGCUUGAAGCCUAAUGGCACCGCCACUGAUUUUAAGGCGCACCGGAGACAGUGACGCCCAAUACCAAGCAGAGCUUGAGGGUUGUAAUGACGCUCGAAC
rnacentral:misc_RNA from 1 species